UUCUUGUGACAUGGCAUGACUUUUUAGGUUUUUGUACAUACUUAUUUCAUACUUUUAAAGACUGGUUUCUUAUUUUUCCUCAGGAUAAUUCUAUACCUCAACAAGUUGCGGAGAGUGACCUGCAGGGGAACAAUACUGAACUGAAGAAAAAGGAGAAAAGGGCAUACCGUUUGCAGCGUCAUUUUCUUGCAUUCUACUUCGGAAAGCGGCACGAUUAUUUUUAUUUCUGGCUUGAUUUUUUUUUUUUACACGUUUUCACUCUUACAUUUGAUCUUACAACUAGCUUCUCAUCCAAAUGUAAGUACCGAUACUUCGACACACCGUUUGCAGCAUCUUAAUUUUUCAAAAGCGGAAAAAAGCGGCUAGCCAUAACUAGAGCCAUAACUAGAACUAACCAAUCCACCAGGCCUAUACAAUGUGGAUAGAACCAGAUGUGGAACAUAUCAUUUAAAAGUGAACAUAUUGAAAAACAGCAUUUUCCUUGCUAACAGGGCCUCUGUUAGAGUGGAGGAGAUCUGUCGAAAGAUGGAAAAGGAGGACGGGCCCACUGAGCUGAAGGAGCUUUUAGAUUAUUUCACUGCUCUUGAGGAGGACCGCAGGAACCUGCAGAAUCUCCUGCAAGAGAAAAAUGAAGAAAAUGAAAUGAAGUUGAGGGCUAAGGAGAGGGAGAUGGUGCAUGAGAGGGUAGAGUUGGAGAGUGAGAUGCGGGACAGAGGAGGCCCUGCUGUGCACUUUUAUUUCCGUUGUUGUCUGAAAGGACAAGGUCAUGAAAGACCUGAGGAUCCAGAUGGACAGACCGAGUCCAUCUAGGGUGUACGAGGCACAAUGGGGCCACUGGCACUGCAGUGGUCACACUCCAGGAUGCUUAUUAAAGCGCUAUACCUCAACAAAUUACGGAGAGUGACCUGCAGGGGAACAAAAGGCUGGAGGACCGGGGCAAAGCUGAACUGAAGAAAAAGGAGAAAGCCCUUCAACAGGCAGAGAAGAAAAGAAUGCGAAUAUUCU
rnacentral:lncRNA from 1 species